GGGGACAUGGUGGAAUUGGUAGACACACCAGACUUAAAAUCUGUUGAGCGUAUGCUCGUGGGGGUUCAACUCCCCCUGUCCCUA
rnacentral:tRNA from 1 species